ensembl:lncRNA
GAGACCUGGGUUUAAUCCCUGGGUUGGGAAGAUCCCUUGGAGAAAGGAAAGGCCACCCACUCCAGUAUCCUUCCCAGGAGAAUCCCAUAGACAGAGAGGCCAAGAGUCGGACGACUGAGGGACUAAGCCCAGCACAAUAUCUUAAUGGCCUCUGGAAGCAAACUAGAAUCCAAGCCUUAAGCGCCUGGAGGUUAGGAAAUCAAAACCUAAGGACAAUCUGUCAGAAACAGACCAGGGAGAAGACUCAGGCUAGAGGGCUUCCUAUGAUACAGGUCAAGGAGAAAAGCCUGCUCAUCUACAAGCCAUUCUUCCUUCUCUCCUUAUCCUGGACACCCUCCAUGGCCUGUUUCCCAGGGUUACAGGAGAUUGGCCUGCAAUCUCAAAUUCGGGC